UGGCAGAGACAACAGGAGAUGGAACUGC
rnacentral:piRNA from 1 species